UAAUACCUUAAUCAUUUGACGUUACCUACAGAAGAAGCACCGGCUAACUCCGUGCCAGCAGCCGCGGUAAUACGGAGGGUGCAAGCGUUAAUCGGAAUUACUGGGCGUAAAGCGCAUGCAGGUGGUUUGUUAAGUCAGAUGUGAAAGCCCUGGGCUCAACCUAGGAAUCGCAUUUGAAACUGACAAGCUAGAGUACUGUAG
rnacentral:rRNA from 1 species